GAUUACCCGUCAACCUGGUCAGGUCCGGAAGGAAGCAGCCACAGCGGGAACAUUGUGUGCCGGGGUGUGGCUGGCGGGG
rnacentral:SRP_RNA from 1 species